GUAGGUGGCAAGCGUUGUCCGGAAUUAUUGGGCGUAAAGCGCGCGCAGGCGGUUCUUUAAGUCUGAUGUGAAAGCCCACGGCUCAACCGUGGAGGGUCAUUGGAAACUGGAGAACUUGAGUACAGAAGAGGAAAGCGGAAUUCCACGUGUAGCGGUGAAAUGCGUAGAGAUGUGGAGGAACACCAGUGGCGAAGGCGGCUUUCUGGUCUGUAACUGACGCUGAGGCGCGAAAGCGUGGGGAGCAAACAGGGAUUAGAUACCCUGGCAGUCCACGCCGUAAACGAUGAGUGCUAAGUGUUAGGGGGUUUCCGCCCCCCUUAGUGCUGCAGCUAACGCAUUAAGCACUCCGCCCUGGGAGUACGGCCGCAAGGCUG
rnacentral:rRNA from 1 species